CGAGAAGUUACGAUGUUCUCGCGACUAAAGAAGUCCCUAGAGAGGGUACUCUGAUAAUGUCCUAUUUAGUUCUAAGUGGUAUAUAUACUAAAGAGGACAUAUAUUAGAGAGAACUGGAAAACACUCAUGACAAUUUAAGAGUCAUAUCAGUUGAUCAAGUAACGGUCGUCUUAUAUGAGGUCUUCACUUACGUAGGGCUUCUAGUAGUAACAGAGAACAAACACAGUACGGACAUGUUAAUUAUUAUCUAGAGCCAUACGAGGGACUUUAUAACAACAUCGGUUCCAGGUUCAUAACUUCUAAUUGUUCGAGGCAUUCGAGCAGACCUUACACUGGUGUUUUGUAUAACCUAGAGUCAGCAUUCUUACUGUUUCUACUAUCGAAGAGGGGUUAGGUACGACCAUUUCGGGGUCUCUUAACUAAUACAGGCUCUAGUUCUUUCUACUCAACACCUGUAAAGACCUCUUCACUUCCUUUAAGUGGUCUCCAACAACAAAGAGUUCGAAUCCAAUUGCUACGAAUCUCAGUCUAGACAGUACAAACACGAUCUGAACAACUGAUCCGUUAGCCAUUAACUAGGUAACUCCAAUAAUGAACUAUCUAGAUUGUUGGUGUUACUAGCGUUAGACGUGUUUCUUCUACCUUACCGGGGUCUCUAGUACAACAAUAUAUCUUGUUCACAAAGUUCGGGACCUCGAGGUUUCAGAUUACCAUCACCGGGUUGAUCUAACAAGGCUGACUCUAGGUCCGGCCAAUAUAACUACCCUUCGAAUCCAUAACCUGGUGGUUCGACCAAUCUUGACUUUAGGUAAAGAA
rnacentral:rRNA from 1 species